UCUCCGUCUGCAGGCGCUGAGCCCCGGAGGAGGAGGGGGCGGGCUCCGGGAGCCCCAACCCUGGGGCGGGGCCAAGGCGUCCUCCCAACCUGGCUUUGCAGAGCAGAGAUCUGGUGUCUCCAGUUUACAGAAGCACUUUCAGAACUGAUCAGAAGCCACCCCGCUUAUCAGCAGAUCUCAGGAGAGUGUUCGGUGGAGGCCCUGCCGGUCUGCACAGCUCACCUCCCUGGGAACUGCUCGCCUGAGCGUCGGAGCCGGCGCUGGCCCCCUGCAGCCGCAGGAGCCCCGGAGGCCCAGGACGCAGGGGAAGGAACAGGAAGAGAAGAGUGUGGCCUCCUAGAAAUCUAGCACUGGAGAAAGAUGCAGUGGCUCAUGCCUGUAAUCUCAGCACUUGGGGAGGCUGAAGUGAGAAGAUUACUUGAGGCCAGAAGUUCAAGACCAGCCGAGGCAACAUAGUGAGACCCUGCCUCUACAGAAAAUUAGAUGGAGUUUCGUUCUUGUUGUCCAGGCUGGAGUGCAAUGGCGCCAACUCAAUUUCUGCCUCCCAAGUUCAAGCGAUUCUCCUGCCUCAGCCUCCCGAGUAGCUGAGAUUACAGGCAUGCGCCACCACGCCUAAUUUUGUAUUUUUAGUAGAGACAAAUUUUCUCCAUGUUGGUCAGGCUGGUCUCGAACUCCCGACCUCAGGUGAUCCACCUGCCUUGGCCUCCUAAAGUGCUGGGAUUACAGGUGUGAGCCACCACGCCCGGCUGCUUGAUUCCUUUUUCUUUUGUGUGUAUACUACAAAUUUUCUUUUAGUUACCAAGAGACUUACAUAAAACAUCUCAGUUAUAACAGUCUAGCUUACGAUAAUAACAAUUCAACUUCGAUGUAUAGAAAGACUCAACAG